rnacentral:miRNA from 1 species
GAGGUGGAAGGAUUGCCUGAGUCCAUGAGGUCAAGGCUGCAGUGAGCCAUGAUCGUGCCACUGCACUCCAGCCUGAGUGACAGAGCAAGAC